UACAGAGGGUCCAAGCGUUGAUCGGAAUCACUGGGCUUAAAGGGUGCGCAGGCGGCGCCGCAAGUGCCUUGUGAAAUCCCCCGGCUUAACCGGGGAAUUGCUCGGUAGACUGCGGUGCUUGAGCCCGACAGAGGUGGUCGGAACGGUAGGUGGAGCGGUGAAAUGCGUAGAUAUCUACCGGAACGCCGAAGGUGAAGACAGGCCACUGGGUCGGCGCUGACGCUCAGGCACGAAAGCGUGGGUAGCGAACGGG
rnacentral:rRNA from 1 species